UGGGGAAUUUUGGACAAUGGGCGAAAGCCUGAUCCAGCCAUGCCGCGUGAGUGAAGAAGGCCUUCGGGUUGUAAAGCUCUUUUAGUCGGGAAGAAAGAGUUGCAAUGAAUAAUUGUGAUUUAUGACGGUACCGACAGAAAAAGCACCGGCUAACUACGCGCCAGCAGCCGAGGUAAUACGUAGGGUGCGAGCGUUAAUCGGAAUUACUGGGCGUAAAGGGUGCGCAGGCGGUCUUGCAAGUCAGAUGUGAAAGCCUCGGGCUUAACCUGGGAAUUGCGUUUGAAACUGCAAGGCUAGAGUGCAGCAGAGGUGAGUGGAAUUCCAUGUGUAGCAGUGAAAUGCGUAGAUAUGUGGAAGAACACCGAUGGCGAAGGCAGCUCCCUGGGUUGGUACUGACGCUCAUGCACGAAAGCGUGGGGAGCAAACA
rnacentral:rRNA from 1 species